GGGGCGAAAUCCGAAAAGCCAUAUGAGUAGGAA
rnacentral:ncRNA from 1 species